rnacentral:rRNA from 1 species
AGGACGAACGCUGGCGGCGUGCUUAACACAUGCAAGUCGAACGGUAAGGCCCCUUCGGGGGUACACGAGUGGCGAACGGGUGAGUAACACGUGGGUAAUCUGCCCUGCACUUCGGGAUAAGCCUGGGAAACUGGGUCUAAUACCGGAUAUGAACUCCUGCCGCAUGGUGGGGGUUGGAAAGUUUUUCGGUGCAGGAUGAGCCCGCGGCCUAUCAGCUUGUUGGUGGGGUAAUGGCCUACCAAGGCGACGACGGGUAGCCGGCCUGAGAGGGGUGAGUCGGCCGACACUGGGACUGAGACACGGCCCAGACUCCUACGGGAGGCAGCAGUGGGGAAUAUUGCACAAUGGGCAAAGCCUGAUGCAGCGACGCCGCGUGGGGAUGGACGGUCUUCGGAUUGUAAACCCCUUUCAGUAGGGACGAAGCGCAAGUGACGUACCUGCAGAACGAAGCACCGGCUAAACCUACGUGACCAGCCAAGCCGC